UACGAAGGGGGCUAGCGUUGUUCGGAAUUACUGGGCGUAAAGCGCACGUAGGCGGGUGGUUAAGUCAGGGGUGAAAUCCCGGAGCUCAACUCCGGAACUGCCUUUGAUACUGGCCAUCUAGAGAUCGGAAGAGGUAAGUGGAAUUCCCAGUGUAGAGGUGAAAUUCGUAGAUAUUGGGAAGAACACCAGUGGCGAAGGCGGCUUACUGGUCCGAUACUGACGCUGAGGUGCGAAAGCGUGGGGAGCAAACAGG
rnacentral:rRNA from 1 species